GAUGAACGCUAGCGGUAGGCCUAAUACAUGCAAGUCGAACGGUGUCUUCGGACAUAGUGGCGCACGGGUGCGUAACACGUAUGCAACCUACCUUACAUUGGGGGAUAGCCUUUCGAAAGGGAGAUUAAUACCGCAUAAGACAGUAGCUGGGCAUCCAGCAGCUGUUAAAGAUUUAUCGAUGUAAGCUGGGCAUGCGUCCAAUUAGCUAGUUGGUGAGGUAACGGCUCACCAAGGCAAUGAUUGGUAGGGGAACUGAGAGGUCAAUCCCCCACACUGGCACUGAGAUACGGGCCAGACUCCUACGGGAGGCAGCAGUAGGGAAUAUUGGGCAAUGGACGCAAGUCUGACCCAGCCAUGCCGCGUGCAGGAUGAAGGCGUUAUGCGUUGUAAACUGCUUUUAUACAGGAAGAAACGACUCUUGCGAGAGGCAUUGACGGUACUGUAUGAAUAAGCACCGGCUAACUCCGUGCCAGCCGCCGCAGUAAAAC
rnacentral:rRNA from 1 species